rnacentral:rRNA from 1 species
UGUACGAAAGGACUUUUUCGCUAAAGCAAUGCUUUGUCACAAAUCUGUGGUUGCAUAAAUAAUAGUGUAUAACAGGUUGAUUAGCCUAUAGGAAGGGUUA